UGUAGCAUUUGGAAAACGAUAAUGAGCGGAAUUUGCAACUUAACUGCUUUCUCCUGUCUCAUGUAAACCUAGGUUCUGUAAAUACUUGCAUGUGAUUCAUUUUGCUGUCGGUUUCGUCGUAUUUCUUUUUGACUGCAUGCCAUUAUGCGAUACGGCAUUUUUAAACCGAAUCCAAACUCUUCGUUCAUCCUAAAAUCGAACAUAAAAUAUAAUUAGUUUUUAGUAAAAAAUCAGUGUAUUAAUGUUUUGAAAACAAUCGCAGGUGCUCAUAAUUUAAAGUUUAGUUCUUCGAUUAGGUUGAUUUUUAAACAAAUUUAACACGAACGAUACAGCUGAGGACUCUCUACUAUAAAACCAUUUGGAAAUAAUACAAUCUGCUUUACAUAUUAUAUUAUAUUUUGUUAUUGUAAGGUUUUAGUUAUUGUUUAGGCUGGAAUUUGGAAACGUAAGUAACUGGGGGAACGGCCCCGCGGAUCUCAAGUCUCUUCCAGAGAACCGGAUUGGUUGGGUGAACAACUCACGCAUAAAACCGCGGUGGGCCACGCUUUCGAGCUGUUGAC